GGGACUACACAUGCAGUCGAGCGGACAGAAGGGAGCUUGCUCCCGGAUGUUAGCGGCGGACGGGUGAGUAACACGUGGGUAACCUGCCUGUAAGACUGGGAUAACUCCGGGAAACCGGAGCUAAUACCGGAUAGUUCCUUGAACCGCAUGGUUCAAGGAUGAAAGACGGUUUCGGCUGUCACUUACAGAUGGACCCGCGGCGCAUUAGCUAGUUGGUGAGGUAACGGCUCACCAAGGCGACGAUGCGUAGCCGACCUGAGAGGGUGAUCGGCCACACUGGGACUGAGACACGGCCCAGACUCCUACGGGAGGCAGCAGUAGGGAAUCUUCCGCAAUGGACGAAAGUCUGACGGAGCAACGCCGCGUGAGUGAUGAAGGUUUUCGGAUCGUAAAGCUCUGUUGUUAGGGAAGAACAAGUGCAAGAGUAACUGCUUGCACCUUGACGGUACCUAACCAGAAAGCCACGGCUAACUACGUGCCAGCAGCCGCGGUAAUACGUAGGUGGCAAGCGUUGUCCGGAAUUAUUGGGCGUAAAGGGCUCGCAGGCGGUUUCUUAAGUCUGAUGUGAAAGCCCCCGGCUCAACCGGGGAGGGUCAUUGGAAACUGGGAAACUUGAGUGCAGAAGAGGAGAGUGGAAUUCCACGUGUAGCGGUGAAAUGCGUAGAGAUGUGGAGGAACACCAGUGGCGAAGGCGACUCUCUGGUCUGUAACUGACGCUGAGGAGCGAAAGCGUGGGGAGCGAACAGGAUUAGUCCUUUGUAUU
rnacentral:rRNA from 1 species